CCAUAGCCCCGAUUGCAACGGCAUCCUUUUUUGUUUUUAUGCAAAUCCUAAUUUGGAUGACAAAACAUUCUAAAAACAAAAAAGAUAUAGUGGAAAGCGGGAUUAGCU
rnacentral:sRNA from 1 species